rnacentral:misc_RNA from 1 species
AAAGCCUCUCCAUGGCC